rnacentral:rRNA from 1 species
AGUGGCGGACGGGUGAGUAACGCGUGAGAAUCUGCCUUGGGGUCGGGGACAACCACUGGAAACGGUGGCUAAUACCGGAUAAGCCGAUUGGUGAAAGAUUUAUUGCCCGAAGAGGAGCUCGCGUCUGAUUAGCUAGUUGGUGAGGUAAGAGCUCACCAAGGCAGCGAUCAGUAGCUGGUCUGAGAGGACGAUCAGCCACACUGGGACUGAGACACGGCCCAGACUCCUACGGGAGGCAGCAGUGGGGAAUUUUCUGCAAUGGGCGAAAGCCUGACGGAGCAAGACCGCGUGAGGGAGGAAGGCUCUUGGGUUGUAAACCUCUUUUCUCAGGGAAGAAGCUCUGACGGUACCUGAGGAAUCAGCCUCGGCUAACUCCGUGCCAGCAGCCGCGGUAAUACGGAGGAGGCAAGCGUUAUCCGGAAUUAUUGGGCGUAAAGCGUCCGCAGGUGGCAAUUCAAGUCUGCUGUCAAAGCACGGGGCUUAACUCCGUUAAGGCAGUGGAAACUGAAUAGCUAGAGUGCCGUAGGGGUAGAGGGAAUUCCCGGUGUAGCGGUGAAAUGCGUAGAGAUCGGGAAGAACAUCGGUGGCGAAAGCGCUCUACUGGACGGCAACUGACACUCAGGGACGAAAGCUAGGGGAGCGAAUGGGAUUAGAUACCCC